GACUAACGCUGACGGCGUGCCUUAUCUAUGCAAGUUUUUGUUUUUCUGGUUUACUAGAAUUUCAAGGCAGACGAGUGAGUAACAGGUAGGGAUCUGCCUCUAACUUGAGGAUAAUUUCGAGAAAUUGGAAAUAAUACUCAAUGGUCUGGUACAUUUCGGUGUAUCAGUAAAGCUUCGGCGGUUAGAGAUGAACCUGCUUCCCAUCAGCUAGUUGGUAAGGUAAUGGCUUACCAAGGCGACGACGGGUAGGGGGCGUGAAAGCGUGUACCCCCACGAUGGCACUGAGACACGGGCCAUACAUCUACGGAUGGCAGCAAGUAGGAAUAUUGCGCAAUGGACAUUUAUUUGUCUGACGCAGCGACGCCGUGUGAAGGAAGAAGGCUUUCGGGUUGUAAACUUACAUCAAAAAGGAGCGGCAAACUUCG
rnacentral:rRNA from 1 species